UGUUGGCCGGGCGACGGUUGUCCCGGUUUAAGCGUGUAGGCUGGUUUUCCAGGCAAAUCCGGAAAAUCAAGGCUGAGGCGUGAUGACGAGGCACUACGGUGCUGAAGCAACAAAUGCCCUGCUUCCAGGAAAAGCCUCUAAGCAUCAGGUAACAUCAAAUCGUACCCCAAACCGACACAGGUGGUCAGGUAGAGAAUACCAAGGCGCUUGAGAGAACUCGGGUGAAGGAACUAGGCAAAAUGGUGCCGUAACUUCGGGAGAAGGCACGCUGAUAUGUAGGUGAAGUCCCUCGCGGAUGGAGCUGAAAUCAGUCGAAGAUACCAGCUGGCUGCAACUGUUUAUUAAAAACACAGCACUGUGCAAACACGAAAGUGGACGUAUACGGUGUGACGCCUGCCCGGUGCCGGAAGGUUAAUUGAUGGGGUCAGCGCAAGCGAAGCUCUUGAUCGAAGCCCCGGUAAACGGCGGCCGUAACUAUAACGGUCCUAAGGUAGCGAAAUUCCUUGUCGGGUAAGUUCCGACCUGCACGAAUGGCGUAAUGAUGGCCAGGCUGUCUCCACCCGAGACUCAGUGAAAUUGAACUCGCUGUGAAGAUGCAGUGUACCCGCGGCAAGACGGAAAGACCCCGUGAACCUUUACUAUAGCUUGACACUGAACAUUGAGCCUUGAUGUGUAGGAUAGGUGGGAGGCUUAGAAGUGUGGACGCCAGUCUGCAUGGAGCCGACCUUGAAAUACCACCCUUUAAUGUUUGAUGUUCUAACGUUGACCCGUAAUCCGGGUUGCGGACAGUGUCUGGUGGGUAGUUUGACUGGGGCGGUCUCCUCCUAAAGAGUAACGGAGGAGCACGAAGGUUGGCUAAUCCUGGUCGGACAUCAGGAGGUUAGUGCAAUGGCAUAAGCCAGCUUGACUGCGAGCGUGACGGCGCGAGCAGGUGCGAAAGCAGGUCAUAGUGAUCCGGUGGUUCUGAAUGGAAGGGCCAUCGCUCAACGGAUAAAAGGUACUCCGGGGAUAACAGGCUGAUACCGCCCAAGAGUUCAUAUCGACGGCGGUGUUUGGCACCUCGAUGUCGGCUCAUCACAUCCUGGGGCUGAAGUAGGUCCCAAGGGUAUGGCUGUUCGCCAUUUAAAGUGGUACGCGAGCUGGGUUUAGAACGUCGUGAGACAGUUCGGUCCCUAUCUGCCGUGGGCGCUGGAGAACUGAGGGGGGCUGCUCCUAGUACGAGAGGACCGGAGUGGACGCAUCACUGGUGUUCGGGUUGUCAUGCCAAUGGCACUGCCCGGUAGCUAAAUGCGGAAGAGAUAAGUGCUGAAAGCAUCUAAGCACGAAACUUGCC
rnacentral:rRNA from 1 species